GAUGAACGCUGGCGGCGUGCUUAACACAUGCAAGUCGAACGAAGCACUUUAUUUGAUUUCCUUCGGGACUGAUUAUUUUGUGACUGAGUGGCGGACGGGUGAGUAACUCGUGGGUAACCUGCCUUGUACAGGGGGAUAACAGUUGGAAACGGCUGCUAAUACCGCAUAAGCGCACAGCAUCGCAUGAUGCAGUGUGAAAAACUCCGGUGGUAUAAGAUGGACCCGCGUUGGAUUAGCUAGUUGGUGAGGUAACGGCCCACCAAGGCGACGAUCCAUAGCCGACCUGAGAGGGUGACCGGCCACAUUGGGAAUGAGACACGGCCCAAACUCCUACGGGAGGCAGCAGUGGGGAAUAUUGCACAAUGGGCGAAAGCCUGAUGCAGCGACGCCGCGUGAGCGAAGAAGUAUUUCGGUAUGUAAAGCUCUAUCAGCAGGGAAGAUAAUGACGGUACCUGACUAAGAAGCACCGGCUAAAUACGUG
rnacentral:rRNA from 1 species